UGCUAUCUUUUCUACUAUCUUUUCUACAUUCUAGUUGUUAUUAGAAUAGAGAUUUUAGAAUUUUUAUUUGAGCCUCUUAGGUCACCAUAGAAAUCAGCUGAAAUGAGUUCUACUGACUUCAGCUCUGUCUUCAUUUAUGGUGUUUAGGCUUCCAGAGUGAAAAUUACCAGAGAAAGAUACAUACAACAUCUGAAUAUAUCACAGAAUCAUAAACAUAUGUAACCUAAUUUCUACAGAUGAAGUAAAACGUGGAAUACCCCCACAGAAAAGACUUUCUCAGCAUUUGUAAUUUCUACAGAUGAAGUAAAAUGUGUAAUACCCCCACAGAGAAGAUUUUCUCAGCACUGUGAAGGACAAGGAAUGAACCACACAGUUUAAUAAAUGUAAACUAGAAACUGCAGUUGGACAUGGAAGCAUCUAUCUUCAAAGACCCGGAUUAUAGAUCUAUAGCCAACACACAUUAUCUAUAGUGCAAGGGAUGGAUCCCAGGAAUUUCUGAAUGAUAGGUGUUGAAGGGAUGGCUCAGUGCUUGGAGUACUUCUGUGCAAGCAGGAUUAGCAGAAUUCAAAUCUCCAGGAUCUGCAUCAAAAGCUGGGCAUGGCUUCACACCUAUAACUGCAAUGUGGGGUAGAGAACUUGGAGCCUUGCACCGAGUCCAGUGAGAGACCCAAUCAAAAUCAAGG